rnacentral:lncRNA from 1 species
UUUCUGAUCCUGAAUCAUCAGUUUUUCCCUUGAAAGAUGGGAGGUGGCAAGGACAAACACAAUGAAGAAGAGAAAGGAGUUUUCUCACAUCUGGCUCAUGGAGUAGCUCAAGCUGCUCAUGGUUACCCUCCAGGGGCAUACCCUCCACCUCCUGGGGCAUACCCUCCUUACCAAGGGUACCCACCUGCUCAUGGCUACCCUCCACAAGGUGGCUAUCCUCCGGCUGGUUAUCCCCCUGCUGGCUAUCCUCCUGCUGCUGGUGGUUACCCCCCUGCUGGUUACCCUCCACAUGGU